AGGGGCCGCUGUUUUCUCACCGACUCGCCUCUCCGGCAGAGCUGUCUCGGGCUGGCCGUUCAGAGCCCCGCUGUUUAACCUGGUCUCGGAUCCCGCCGCAAUUUCUCCUCCCCCUUCCUCGAGUCUCCAGCUCCGUGCCGCAGCCAAAGAGCCGAGUGCAGGGGCAGCGCCGGGCUGCCUGCGUGGUUAGCACCACAGUGACUCAGCGGAGGAGACCAGCGCCAGUAGGAAAGGAGCUGCCAAAGUAUUUAAGGCAUCACCUCCCUGAGUAAAACCUCUCCCUCCCAGCUCCUCUUCCCAGCUGGGGAAGGCGAGGAAGAAGCUUCCUUCUUGGGCUGUGGGGACUGGGGAGGAGGUUCCAUCCCACUCCAUCCCUGAAAUAUGUUCUUCCCCUGGGUGUCUGUUCUUACACUGCUUCGGAUUCUGGAAGGGGCUAAUGGAGAGUCAGUGACACAGCCUGAGGACAGACUGACAGUAUCCCAAGGGGCCCCAGCACUGCUGAAAUGCAGCUAUGACACUUCCUAUAUUCCCACGCUCUGGUGGUACGAGCAGUACCCAAAUGAAGUCCCUCGCCUCUUGCUGACACAAUAUGAAGCAUCGGGUGAGGAGGAGAGAAGGAGCCGGCGAGGGUUCUCCGCCACACCCGACAAACAGGGGAAGACUUUCCACCUGAAGAAAAACUCAAGUGAACUUCGCGACUCCGCCGUCUACUACUGCGCCAUGAGCGACACAGUGAUCGCACCCAGCAGGGCCGCUGCACAAAAACCCGCUGGGGGAAGAGGAGGCGGCACUGAAGAUGUGUGGGUUCGAGCCCCAGAAGAACAGACUUUGCACAGCGCCAUUGGAGUCAGUGAAUCCCAUGCCCAGGGUGUAAAUGUGCGUCUCUUCACUGGAGUCAACGGGCCAGAUCCCAGACAGUUGGGACUGGGUGGAGCUCUGCUAAAGGAAAUGAUCCAGUUCCUCAAAAUGUUUUAAAAUCAGUGAGGAAUUGCAUAGGAGUCAGCUGAGCUGCACUGGUUCCUAUCAGCUGAGGAUCCGAGCCAUUAUAAUAGGACAUUGGGGUCUCAACAAAAUUGAAAUGUUCCCCAUUCCUAGAGGAAACAGAAUAUAAAUCUCUUUUAAUUUUUCAACAGUUUCUGUUUCCCAUAACUGCCCUGGUGUCUAUUGUGUGAAGGUUUUGCUGGUUUCAGAAAUGCAGUGAUCCAGAAAUUGAAGUGAAGUCAGGAAAGAUAGAAAUACUGGAAUUACAGGUACAGGAGUAGACCAGACAGCCAUCUAGCACAGUAUUUCUCUCUGACUGUACUUACCACCAACACCUUCAGAGGAAGGUGAAAGGAACUCUGGAGUGGGUAGUUAUGAGGUAACUUCCCUUAUAGGAGGUUUUCCCCUAGCCUUGUGCAAUUGUACAUAGAUUUAUGUCUUGAAGAAGGAUUUCCUUCACCUUCCAAUUUUUAGAGUCCUUUUUCAGUAAAUUCUGAAAGUUUAUGUUUAAAAUCUCUCAUAACAUCCCAAGGUUUAUUUAUCCUGGCACACUCACUUAUAGCUACACUACAUGUCUACACUAUGAAAUUAGGUCAAUUUUAUAGAAGUCGAUCUUUAGCAACUGAUUUUAUACAGUCGAUCAUGCAUGUCCCCACUAAGUGCAUUAGGUCG